AGUACCCACGAUUCACUCCGUUGAGAAAUGGUCUCCAGAAUCAGAGGUUAUGCUACAGGACUACUUUACUAGCGCUGAUAGGAAUAUGUUUAGAGACUCCCCGAUAACAUAGAUGAGCUAACAACCCGCCACCGGCUUCAUUAGAAAAUGCAUUGGCGAUGUGGUACACACGGUGAGGGUUUGCUGCUUCCCCAAUCAAAAGCCCUGGAUUAACAACAAGAUUGGAGCUAAACUAAAGGUCAGGGCUACCGCACACAGAGCUAUCGUAGACAACCCUGAUGCUAUGACCGAAGACAGGAAUAAGUACAAGGAGGCCCGCUAUUAACGCAGCAGAUUCAUCAAACGAACAAAAGGACAAUAUAGGAAUAAGGUGGAUUCAUAUUACACAGGCCCCGACACCCGCCACAUGUGAGAGGGGCUAUAGUCCAUUACAUAUUACAAAGGAAGACCCAACCGUGAUCUACCCAACAAUGCCUCGCUAAAAGUGGGUGAUCUCACGCUGAGGCCGACGUGAGAAGGGUCUUUAAAUUAAGUCAACACCCGCAAGGCCCCGGGCCACAACAAUAUUCCAGGUCUGCAACUGGAUCCUGGACUUCCUGAUGGGCCAACCACAUGUGGUGAGGGUAGGCAACAUCCUCUCAACCACACUGACCUUUAACACAGUGGCCCCACAGGUGUGUGUGCUUAGUCCCCUCCUGUACUCCCUGUUCACCCACAACUGUAUGGACUUCAACGCCAUUAUCAAGUUCGCCGACGACACAACAGUGGCAGACCUGAUCACCGGCGACAAGAGUCAGCCUACAGGAAGGAGGUCAGUGACCUGGCAGUGUGGGGCCGGAGCAACAACUUCUCCCUCAACGUCAAGAAGACCAAGGAGCUGAUUGUGGACUACAGGAAACAAGGGAGGACGAGCACACCCCCACCCACAUCAAUGGGCGGUUGUGGAGCAGGUAGAGCGCUUCAAGUUCCUUGUGUCCAAAUCACUAGACUUAAAAUGGUUCACACGCACAGUCACGAAGAAGGCACGACAGUGCCUGUUCCCCUUCAGGAGGCUGAAAAAGUUUGGCCUUCAGAAAUGUUUUGGUACCCUUCCCCAGAUCUGUGCCUCAACGCAAUCCUGUUUCGGAGUUCUACGGACAAUUCCGUCGACCUCAUGUCUUGGUUUUUGCUCUGACAUGCACUGUCAACUGUGGGACCUUAUAUAGACAGGUGUGUGCCUUUCCAAAUCAUGUCUAAUCAAUUGAAUUUACCACAGGUGGACUCCAAUCAAAGUUGUAGUAACAUCUCCAGGAUGAUCCAUGGAAACAGGAUGUACCUGAGCUCAAUUUCAAGUCUCUGAAUACUUAUGUAAAUUUGGUAUCAGUUUAUACAUUAGCAAACAUUUCUAAAAGCCUGUUUUUGCUUUGUCAUUAUGAGGUAUUGUAUGCAGAUUGACGAGGAAAAAUAAGGCUGUAACGUAACUAUGUGGAAAAAGUCAAGGGGUCUGAAUAUUUUCAGAACGCACUGCAUGCUCCUAAUCUCUCAUGUCAGCAAUAAAUAAUAUUUCAAAUAAAAAAAGACUUACUGUGGGA